GAAAUGCGAUAAGUAAUGUGAAUUGCAGAAUUCAGUGAAUCAUCGAAUCUUUGAACGCACCUUGCGCUCCUUGGUAUUCCGAGGAGCAUGCCUGUUUGAGUGUCAUGGAAUUCUCAACUCUAUUUGCUUUUGUGAAUAGAGCUUGGAUUUGGUGGUUUAUUGCUGGUACUUGUGAUCGGCUCCUCUUGAAUGCAUUAGCUCGAACCUUUGCGGAUCAGCUAUCGGUGUGAUAAUUGUCUACGCCGUUGCAGUGAAGCAUAUCAAUGGGCUCGGCUUCCAAUCGUCCUUUACUGGACAAUGACUUUGACCUUUGACCUCAAAUCAGGUAGGAUUACCCGCUGAAAUUAAGC
rnacentral:misc_RNA from 1 species